CAAAGUGAAGAACUGGCAGUCACGGAGCAGCCGAUGGAGAAAGCAGUGGCAACAGGAAAUGGGGCUGGUGUUGGUUCUGGCAAGAGGAGAAAGGUGCAGUUCCAAUGUGUGGAAUUGAACGAGGAAGUGAAGGAACUCAUGGAGGCAAGGGAAUCUGGUGUGGCAUACAUGAUUGGAAAUCCAUCUAUAAUUGCUAAUGAGGUGUCAUCCCCAGUGAAGAAGUUUGUCAUCAACGUUGUCUAUGGCUUUCUCCGACGUAAUUGCCGCCUACCCGCCAUUGCUCUU
rnacentral:lncRNA from 1 species